rnacentral:rRNA from 1 species
GACAGCCAGGAUGUUGGCUUAGAAGCAGCCAUCAUUUAAAGAAAGCGUAAUAGCUCACUGGUCGAGUCGGCCUGCGCGGAAGAUGUAACGGGGCUAAACCAUGCACCGAAGCUGCGGCAGCGACGCUUAUGCGUUGUUGGGUAGGGGAGCGUUCUGUAAGCCUGCGAAGGUGUGCUGUGAGGCAUGCUGGAGGUAUCAGAAGUGCGAAUGCUGACAUAAGUAACGAUAAAGCGGGUGAAAAGCCCGCUCGCCGGAAGACCAAGGGUUCCUGUCCAACGUUAAUCGGGGCAGGGUGAGUCGACCCCUAAGGCGAGGCCGAAAGGCGUAGUCGAUGGGAAA